rnacentral:lncRNA from 1 species
GAUAGUGAUGAUGGUGAUGAUGAUGGUGGUGGUGGUGAUGGUAGUGGUGAUGGUGAUUGUGAUGGUGGUGAUGGUGAUUGUGAUGGUGGUGGUGAUGGUGGUGAUGGUGGUGAUGGUGAUGUGAUGAUGGUGAUGGUGAUGACGAUGGUGGUGAUGGUGAUGGUGACGGUAGUGGUGAUAGUGAUGAUGGUGGUAAUGGUGA